AAGCCGUAAGUAAAUAGUGGCUCCAAUGAAUUCUAAAAGGCCACCCAACAGGCAAAUUCACAUUUCGACAGUUUCGGUCUAUUUGAGAUCAAUGAGACAAUGGAUUGCAUCAUUUCGAGCUGAUGAGAUUUACUCAUAAUAGUGCCAUUAAUAAUGCAUUUGUAGCGACCUAGAGCCACGCCUAAAGUUGGAAAACCGGCAUCGGCGCAAAGCAGUCCGCCAACAUUUAAGAAAGUAGGAAGACAAAGAACUAACCUAACUUACCGAAACACGAGGUAGCUCGCUCCUUACAGAGCACAUGUUGCAGAGAAGGAUUUUCAAAAACUUGAAAAACGAAUGGAGAAUCCUUAGAAACUCUGAUUUUCGCGAGAUGAAGACGAAAUCUCAAUAACAUUCUUUUGGCUAAAUGUACAAGCUGAGCAAUAUCCAGAUGGCACUAUGGUGUAUCCUGUGCUCGCCAAGUUUGCAUCAUUCCUCUGCAGAUGCAGAAAAGAAGUUUUUGCAAAUUAAUUUGUUGAAAAGGACGCAGAGAAAUCUAUUAUGCACCAAUAGUAUUGUUGGUCUAAUGUAUUCGAAAGAGUACAUAGGUUGCAUAGAAUGCUUCAAUUUAAAACUUGAUAAAACGCUCUUGGAAUAUCGUAAUAGUAACAUGUACAAAAGGUCUGAUAGCUUUUCUGACUCAGAACGAGUUAUUUGAAUCAAUUGAAAAAUAAGGCAUGUUUUUUUUUUCAAGUUAUAUUUAAAAAUAUAAUAUUUUUGUCAUAAUUUAUUUUUUAGUUAGGUAAAACUUAUGUACAAAAGAAUGAUUAAUUUUAAUUGCUCGUUUUGGUAGCUAUCUUCUCAUUUGACAAGUUUCGACAGAGUAGUACAACUCGGUUAUUUAAUUUUAAUAUUAUGUAAAUUGAGUUAUUAAUAAGAUAUUUUGUUCAAAA